rnacentral:rRNA from 1 species
UACAGAGGGCUCAAGCGUUGUUCGGAUUCAUUGGGCGUAAAGGGUGCGUAGGUGGCGCUGUAAGUCGGGUGUGAAAUUUCGGAGCUUAACUCCGAAACUGCAUUCGAUACUGCGGUGCUUGAGGACUGGGGAGGAGACUGGAAUUCAUGGUGUAGCAGUGAAAUGCGUAGAGAUCAUGAGGAAGACCAGUGGCGAAGGCGGGUCUCUGGACAGUUCCUGACACUGAGGCACGAAGGCCAGGGGAGCAAACGGG